UUGCGCGAAACGUGCGUCGUCAUGGUUACGCUGAUCGAAUCCAAACAUUAGCCGCGCUGGGCUUGACUUUGUUGUUGAAUGAAAUCUAUUUAUCCUUUCCACCAUUCCGUUGGCCCACGGCGCAGCGACGGCUACGAGUCGGUGUUCGAUCGAGAAUUUUUUAACAAAUUCGGCGAAUUCAUUCAAGUCUUCGUAGAUUUUACGGCUGUCAACCACGUGAAGCGAGAGAACGCAUCGACAAUUACCAGCACGUGUUUAUAUCGAUUCGCAGUUUCCGGCAAAGGACCAAAAUGAUCAAUAUGGAGGAUCUCCAUUGGAAAUUUAGGAAACCAGUAGGUCUUAAAAAUACCCUGAUACGUUUUUUCUGUACCGACAUGAGCCAUAUUAUCAUGAUGGGCUCGUAGGAGACUUGGAAUCAUCUG